rnacentral:rRNA from 1 species
UUAAGCGACUAAGCGUACACGGUGGAUGCCCUGGCAGUCAGAGGCGAUGAAGGGCGUGCUAAUCUGCGAUAAGCGCCGGUAAGGUGAUAUGAACCGUUAUAACCGGCGAUACCCGAAUGGGGAAACCCAGUGUGACUCGUCACACUAUCAUUAACUGAAUCCAUAGGUUAAUGAGGCGAACCGGGGGAACUGAAACAUCUAAGUACCCCGAGGAAAAGAAAUCAACCGAGAUUCCCCCAGUAGCGGCGAGCGAACGGGGAGGAGCCCAGAGCCUGAAUCAGCAUGUGUGUUAGUGGAAGCGUCUGGAAAGGCGCGCGAUACAGGGUGACAGCCCCGUACACAAAAGCGCAUGUGCUGUGAGCUCGAUGAGUAGGGCGGGACACGUGGUAUCCUGUCUGAAUAUGGGGGGACCAUCCUCCAAGGCUAAAUACUCCUGACUGACCGAUAGUGAACCAGUACCGUGAGGGAAAGGCGAAAAGAACCCCGGCGAGGGGAGUGAAAAAGAACCUGAAACCGUGUACGUACAAGCAGUGGGAGCCCCACCACCAAAGCGUUUCGCUUUGUGUGGUGCACAAAGAAGCGUAACGACAGCACUGAAUGACGGUUAACGGAGCGCAAGCGACGUUCAACAUACAAAGUCAAGCAGUGGAGCGCUUUGGGGUGGGGUGACUGCGUACCUUUUGUAUAAUGGGUCAGCGACUUAUAUUCUGUAGCAAGGUUAACCGAAUAGGGGAGCCGGAGGGAAACCGAGUCUUAACCGGGCGUUAAGUUGCAGGGUAUAGACCCGAAACCCGGUGAUCUAGCCAUGGGCAGGUUGAAGGUUGGGUAACACUAACUGGAGGACCGAACCGACUAAUGUUGAAAAAUUAGCGGAUGACCUGUGGCUGGGGGUGAAAGGCCAAUCAAACCGGGAGAUAGCUGGUUCUCCCCGAAAGCUAUUUAGGUAGCGCCUCGUGAAUUCAUCUCCGGGGGUAGAGCACUGUUUCGGCUAGGGGGCCAUCCCGGCUUACCAACCCGAUGCAAACUGCGAAUACCGGAGAAUGUUAUCACGGGAGACACACGGCGGGUGCUAACGUCCGUCGUGAAGAGGGAAACAACCCAGACCGCCAGCUAAGGUCCCAAAGUCAUGGUUAAGUGGGAAACGAUGUGGGAAGGCCCAGACAGCCAGGAUGUUGGCUUAGAAGCAGCCAUCAUUUAAAGAAAGCGUAAUAGCUCACUGGUCGAGUCGGCCUGCGCGGAAGAUGUAACGGGGCUAAACCAUGCACCGAAGCUGCGGCAGCGAACGUAUCACCCAAGACAACUUUACGGAGUUGACGAUUGACGGAGCGAAGCGACGUCAAAGCGUUCAUUAAAGUCGAGUUGGCUUAGGGAUACGUUCGUUGGGUAGGGGAGCGUUCUGUAAGCCUGCGAAGGUGGCCUGUGAGGGUUGCUGGAGGUAUCAGAAGUGCGAAUGCUGACAUAAGUAACGAUAAAGCGGGUGAAAAGCCCGCUCGCCGGAAGACCAAGGGUUCCUGUCCAACGUUAAUCGGGGCAGGGUGAGUCGACCCCUAAGGCGAGGCCGAAAGGCGUAGUCGAUGGGAAACGGGUUAAUAUUCCCGUACUUGGUGUUACUGCGAAGGGGGGACGGAGAAGGCUAUGUUGGCCGGGCGACGGUUGUCCCGGUUUAAGCGUGUAGGUGUGUGUUCCAGGUAAAUCCGGUUCACUUUAACACUGAGGCGUGAUGACGAGGCACUACGGUGCUGAAGCAACAAAUGCCCUGCUUCCAGGAAAAGCCUCUAAGCAUCAGGUAACAUCAAAUCGUACCCCAAACCGACACAGGUGGUCAGGUAGAGAAUACCAAGGCGCUUGAGAGAACUCGGGUGAAGGAACUAGGCAAAAUGGUGCCGUAACUUCGGGAGAAGGCACGCUGACACGUAGGUGAAGUGAUUUACUCAUGGAGCUGAAGUCAGUCGAAGAUACCAGCUGGCUGCAACUGUUUAUUAAAAACACAGCACUGUGCAAACACGAAAGUGGACGUAUACGGUGUGACGCCUGCCCGGUGCCGGAAGGUUAAUUGAUGGGGUCAGCGCAAGCGAAGCUCCUGAUCGAAGCCCCGGUAAACGGCGGCCGUAACUAUAACGGUCCUAAGGUAGCGAAAUUCCUUGUCGGGUAAGUUCCGACCUGCACGAAUGGCGUAAUGAUGGCCAGGCUGUCUCCACCCGAGACUCAGUGAAAUUGAACUCGCUGUGAAGAUGCAGUGUACCCGCGGCAAGACGGAAAGACCCCGUGAACCUUUACUAUAGCUUGACACUGAACAUUGAGCCUUGAUGUGUAGGAUAGGUGGGAGGCUUUGAAGUGUGGACGCCAGUCUGCAUGGAGCCGACCUUGAAAUACCACCCUUUAAUGUUUGAUGUUCUAACGUGGACCCGUUACCCGGGUUGCGGACAGUGUCUGGUGGGUAGUUUGACUGGGGCGGUCUCCUCCUAAAGAGUAACGGAGGAGCACGAAGGUUGGCUAAUCCUGGUCGGACAUCAGGAGGUUAGUGCAAUGGCAUAAGCCAGCUUGACUGCGAGCGUGACGGCGCGAGCAGGUGCGAAAGCAGGUCAUAGUGAUCCGGUGGUUCUGAAUGGAAGGGCCAUCGCUCAACGGAUAAAAGGUACUCCGGGGAUAACAGGCUGAUACCGCCCAAGAGUUCAUAUCGACGGCGGUGUUUGGCACCUCGAUGUCGGCUCAUCACAUCCUGGGGCUGAAGUAGGUCCCAAGGGUAUGGCUGUUCGCCAUUUAAAGUGGUACGCGAGCUGGGUUUAGAACGUCGUGAGACAGUUCGGUCCCUAUCUGCCGUGGGCGCUGGAGAACUGAGGGGGGCUGCUCCUAGUACGAGAGGACCGGAGUGGACGCAUCACUGGUGUUCGGGUUGUCAUGCCAAUGGCACUGCCCGGUAGCUAAAUGCGGAAGAGAUAAGUGCUGAAAGCAUCUAAGCACGAAACUUGCCCCGAGAUGAGUUCUCCCUGAGACUUAGAGUCUCCUGAAGGAACGUUGAAGACGACGACGUUGAUAGGCCGGGUGUGUAAGCGCAGCGAUGCGUUGAGCUAACCGGUACUAAUGAACCGUGAGGCUUAACCUU